CUCUCUUCCAGGGUGAUCUGAGACGGUGUCAAGCUAAUAAUCAACACUAACCAUCGUAGUUGGGGAUGGUGGCCCCCUAGGUGAGAAACUUGGAGACCUUCUAACAGUGCUGGGAUAUUUAGGACAUGAGUGAAGCAGAAAAAGAAAAAGAGGGCUUAACUCUGGAGAUAAUCAUAGCCUUAGGCUGUUUAACCACUGCUUCAGAGUAAAUUGAAUGACACUGGAUCAUCAUCUAUCCUACUUUGUUAUUUGACUUUGCCUUAGAAUGAAAUCCAGACAGAGUGUUGGAAGUGGUGGGCUGAACCCAGCUGCAGGCUUUCCUGUGUGAGGUAAAUUGGCCCAUUGUGCGCAAAACGUUAUCUGAUGAAGAACUGAGCAGGCCUACAUGCUGAAACUGAGGUAGGGUACUGAGUCUCUGAGUCAUUCCCCCCACCCCCACCCCAGCUCUGGUCCUCUAAACCCAUUUCAGUUUUGGCAGUCACUCGGGGCUCUGGAGUUCUUUCUAGUUCCUCACAUGGUUUUGUGGUUUUGAUUAGGGAGAUGCAACAGACUACAGAAUGGGUAUGGAUACCCUUCCUAGCCUCCCUUCUGGAAAAAUGUGCUUAAUUGCUUAAACUUUUAUGUUUAUAUUAGAAGUGACAACAUACACAACCUAAAAAGACCCUUUGUAGCCCUGCUUAUUUUUUAAAGCUGCCUUAGAUCCUUAAACAUAUUAACAUGAAACAAUUAAAACCACGUCACCUAACACAGUUUUGUUUUCUAGGAAAAACGAUCGAGCUGAUGACCAGUUGGUUAUCUGGCUCCCGAAUUCUGGUUCAGCGUUUAACCAGCUCUGUGAUUUUUCUUUUACUUGAAGUUUCUGGUGUUAGUUUUCUCAUAUCCAAGUGUGACAAAGAUUAGGUUGUCUUCUGGGUACCUGCCAGUUGUGUGGGGCUAUCCACCAAGCCAAACAACCACCAUCUUGGGGAGUUAGGGUAUCCCAUCUGGGCUUGGCCAUUUAGACAUCAGCAUAGAUGAGUAGGGAGGGUCACUAGGCGUUACCACCUAGUGCCAUCUACUGUGUGAGACCCUGGCCUCAGGGAGAAGCUAAAGCAGACAGACUGGAGAAGACCAGGGAUGAUGGUCUCCAUCUGUGAGCCUUGGGGAAGGGAGCUCUCAUCCUUACAGGCUAAGAGCUUUCCACAUGCUUGGGCACAGAAGCACCCACAGCUCUGGAAGGAUCUCGUACUCUCUGUAAGAAAGCCCGUGAAACUCAUUGGUUUCUAAAAGUAAACCUUAGUGGAACCGUGCCUCAGUUUGUCAUUGGGACUUUAGGAGGCAGAAUAAAUGUUGUUUAUGUCUUCCCAUUUGGUACCAUGUUUAUGACCAAAACAAAACAAAACUAAACUAACACAGAUUCUUAACCUGAAUGGGAAGGAAAACCAAAGCAAAUCCUUCUGAGUCCUUGUAUCUAUUUAAUUAAAGAAAUAAGACAUGGCCAAAAAGUUACAGUGGUAGCUUAAUUGCAUGAUUUUAUUAAUAAGUCAUAUACAGCAGGGGGAUGAAUUUCAGAGUGGUUCACAGUGUGGAGCCAUCAGUAAGGGCUGAAGGAGGCAUUGUUCUGACUGUAGGUGACAAGGGACCAGAGUACAAAUUCAUGAAGAUUCCUACUUAGCUGUAUGAUUUAGAAAUGGUCUGAGCCUUGGUUUCUCUAACUACAAAGUGGGGUGAAUUUUAAAUCUGCUGGUGAGAAUCCAACAGCAUAGCAAGGGUGAGAUGAUUUGUGAAGCGGACUGUAGUUCUGCUUGCUCUGUGAGUGUCUCAACAGCAGGUGCUGUCUGCUGCCCUCAACUGAGCAUGCGCUGGGCUGUUCGGACACGUCGUUCAUUUCUCCCUGGAUUAUAGCUGACUCUGGAAGCAUGCUCAGUCGUGGAUGUGAAUGGAAAAGAAGAGCAGACUCACUCAGUUUGGCUGUCAGACCUCUCCAAGCAAGCUGGGGAAGUGCUAAUGCUCCUGACAGGAGUGAAUGAAUUAACAUGUCAGCAACCCACAAGACACUUCUCAGGAAGAGCAACUGUUCAGAAUAAAAAAGAAGAAUAAAAAAUGUUACAGAAACUAAACAACACCCCCUCCCCUCUUACAAUGUAAACAUCUUUUGAAGUUCGUGAUAUUUCUGCAGUUUGGGGUGAAUUUUACUCACUGAUCUUUCUUACUUAACCCAAAAUGACUGUCAAUACGAUUAUUCAUCCCUGUUAGUCUGAGUGUCACCAGCACAGGGAGGGGUGUCUGUGCUAUUUUUAAACACAGACCUCAGGGUGCAGAGGACACAUACCACAUCAAUGCCGCUGAAGGCCGACCCCACCCUGGUUCACAGACAGCCCCAGAACAGGAGUGCAUACAGACCUCUACUGUGACUUAUUCCAAGGGGCCGUUAUGGUGGUCCUGAAGGGAUAAAGACGCCCAGGAGAAAGAGCAUCCCAGAUCUGAGCUUGAGAUGGCUGUGCUUACUGCAGAGUUGACUGACAGUCAAAAUUCUGAGUCAAGCAAGACACUCCAGUCUAGACCCGACUUCUGGGCGCAAGGGGGAUCCACAGAAUGGGCUGAACGCUGCAAAAACAGAGGGCAGAAUUUGUCUUUGAGGAGUCUUAAACAUCCAGAUUCUGAGGAAUUACGUGAGGUGAGGGGGUGGAUUCAUCUUCGACAGUUCAGGUUCUGAGAACACCAGGAGCUUCUGAAGUGUGAAGCUGACAUACUGUUAAACCCUACUCACGAACACGCUGUAUCUGUCUAAGGGGCUCUGUUUGCUUGCUAAACGUUAAGUGCCCCUCGGUUACUGUCAACUCUGCUAGUCCCCGUGCUAUGGCCAGUGCUUGAGAAAGGAUGCUGUAAAGCUGAAAAAGACAGGAGGACAAGAAGGAACCAAACUUACAGGUAGUUACAUCUCUAGAAUAUGCCCUACAAAUUAGGUCGUGUGCUGUGAACUCCUUGCUCAGAAAUCCCACAUCUCUACCUUAGAGGAAAAUAAGGUCAGCCCUUCAGGCUGAGCCAGUGGGCCUUAUCUCAGAUCAUGGCCCAGAAUUUGGACCUUAAUCUGAGUUUUUGCUUACUAGCCUCUACAUACCACCGGUAAAAGGACAACACCUAGUCUGACAGCCAACUCCAGCCCCUGUGGUGCUGAAGGUAACAGAUAGGAAAGAGGCUUUAAAGGUGUAAAACACGGAAGUCCGGAAGUACGCCAAGGCACAUUUUCAAGUCUGUAUGUUGAAAGAACAUAAUCUCAAAAGCUCUUUCCUUGUACCAGGCCAAGAAAACAAAUGUGGCGGGCAUUCCAGGGACGUAGCACGCCUGCACUGCAUCAGUUUGUCAGGAAGCUGAACAAGGUACCCAUUAAAAACUCAUAAAAAUU